UCCCAUGUGCCAAAUACAUGCAGAAUCUGUUUACUCCAUUUCACAGUGACAGGCCAAUGGUUAAAAUGAUAGAGCAUACAAUUUUUAACAUUUUAUUUUGAUUCCAUAUUUCAAUCUAGCUUGAUUCAAAUAUCAUAAAAUGUACCCCGUCUUGUUAAAUUCAUCCUUGACAUAUUGAUACGCCCUUAUUUCUUUCUUUAACAAAUGUGAUCUGGACAAGUCUUUUGUUUGCAAUGAUCUGCACUGCCAAACUCAUUGAAAGACUUCAGAAUAAUAGUUAGUGACUGAGACAGGUUAUAUCUCAAAAGCGCGUGAACCAGUAUUUAUUGCUAAAUUAUUGUAGCAUUUGCAUUUGUAGAUAACACGAGAAAAAUAUAUUGUGUUAAUUUAUUAUUGUACGUUUUGGGUUACCCAGCUUCUGUCCUCAGUGGUUCCUGACAAAUAGGGAUUUUCGGUGGGUACCAGGUCAAACAGCGUGAUUUGAGCAAAGAUUUACUAUAGCUGUUUUGGUCAGUCUAAGAUCUCUUGAGGACUCGAGUUAAGCCCCUGUUGUAUAUAAAAUAUGUUUGAUAUAAGGUCUAUUUUAUUUUGUAUAAUGUCAAUAAACCACUUUUCAAAAAAAA